rnacentral:rRNA from 1 species
UACGUAGGUGGCAAGCGUUGUCCGGAUUUACUGGGCGUAAAGAGCGCGCAGGCGGUCGUUCAAGUCGCGUGUGAAAGCCCCCGGCUCAACUGGGGAGGGUCACGCGAUACUGAUCGACUCGAAGGCAGGAGAGGGUAGUGGAAUUCCCGGUGUAGUGGUGAAAUGCGUAGAUAUCUGCAGGAACACCCGUGGCGAAAGCGGCGCGCUGGACCACAACUGACGCUGAGGAACGAAAGCUAGGGGAGCAAACAGG